rnacentral:rRNA from 1 species
GAAUUUUGGACAAUGGGGGCAACCCUGAUCCAGCCAUCCCGCGUGUGCGAUGAAGGCCCUCGGGUUGUAAAGCACUUUUGGCAGGGAAGAAAAGGCUCUGGCUAAUACCUGGAGCUGCUGACGGUACAUGCAGAACAAGCACCGGCCAACCCCGUGCCCGCAGCCGCGGUAAUAAGUAGGGUGCAAGCGUUAAUCGGAAUUACUGGGCGUAAAGCGUGCGCAGGCGGUUCGGCAAGAAGGAUGUGAAAUCCCAGGGCUUAACCUUGGAACUGCAUUCUUAACUGCCGGGCUAGAGUAUGUCAGAGGGGGGUAGAAUUCCGCGUGUAGCAGUGAAAUGCGUAGAGAUGCGGAGGAAUACCGAUGGCGAGGGCAGCCCCCUGGGAUAAUACUGACGCUCAUGCACGAAAGCGUGGGGAGCAAAC